rnacentral:rRNA from 1 species
CCUACGGGGUGCAGCAGUGGGGAAUAUUGCACAAUGGGGGAAACCCUGAUGCAGCGACGCCGCGUGAGUGAAGAAGUAUUUCGGGUUGUAAACUUCUUUUCUGAGGGACGAAGAAAGUGACGGUACCUCAGGACUACGCCACGGCUAACUACGUGCCAGCAGCCGCGGUAAUACGUAGGUGGCAAGCGUUAUCCGGAUUUAUUGGGUGUAAAGGGCGUGUAGGCGGGAAAGCAAGUCAGAUGUGAAAACUCAGGGCUCAACCCUGAGCCUGCAUUUGAAACUGGUUUUCUUGAGUGCUGGAGAGGCAAUCGGAAUUCCGGGUGUAGCGGUGAAAUGCGUAGAUAUACGGAGGAACACCAGUGGCGAAGGCGGAUUGCUGGACAGUAACUGACGCUGAGGCGCGAAAGCGUGGGGAGCAAACAGGAUUAGAUACCCCUGUAGUC